AUUGUUGAAUGGAUCUAAUAUUAAUUAUGCCUUUGCUAUAUUCUAUAAUCUUCGUACCUGUGUCAAGCGAGCCAAAAUCUAUUUUUAAUUUAAGGCUCGUUAGGUUGUAG
rnacentral:antisense_RNA from 1 species